UUCUGCUACAUGGAACUUUAAUACUGUCGGUAGCGCACUGGGCCUCGGAACGAUUCAGUAAUAUUCUACAAGGAAACACGACCAAUAGAGAGGAUUGAGAUGUUUAUCUAUCCUUUUUAAAACUUGUAUGCCUGUCUUCAGUCCAGGAGGGGGCGGUCUUAUACACCUUCAAGCCAAUAAACGACGGAAAAGAAGAAGCAAAUAUUUUCCAAACCAGGAAGGAUGAUACACAGCCACCAGGGAUGUCCUCAAGACUUUGUGUCUUCAUGCCGUCAGUCAAGCUCUCCCUAGAUGUCAAUUCAACAAGUCAAAUGAGGAUCAAGACAGCGGAGGAGAAAUGAGCCAUAUAGGGCUGGGAGACAAAAGCCUGCAGACAUGAGACGUUCAGAUGGUGGGAACUCUGAGUCGGGCGGAGGAGGGAUCCCUGAUGUCUCUGGGAAGAGUAGAGUAUUUUCCAACAUUUUUUUUUAAUGGCUGACAAAUCUCCCUGAUCUCUCUGGGAGGGAUGCAAGGGCCUUUGAUCAGCCAGAGGAGAGAACUCAAAGAAAGUAAGGUCUUCCUGAAUGUGAAAGUAACAAAGUGUAUUCUUCGCUAAAGAGUCUCUGUGAGUUUACCUAUCACCCCUUUACCAUCGGAGUUAAGAGAUGAGUAACCCAGACUCAAAUCCCCUUUUAUGAAAUGAUGAAUAUUUUGUCACAGAGCCACAAAAAAGUCAGGGUUGUUUUUGUGAUGCAGUCUGCAUUACUUCGCCAAAUAGCAUAAAAAUAUCAAGAAAUAGAGGCAAAGUGGAGAUAAAGACUGUUUUAUAGGCCCCUAAAUCCCUGAUAAAGUGUAAAUAUCCAGAUUUGCAGGUCAGUCAGUUUAUUUCCAGCGUUAAUUUUAAGGUGUUCUGAUUCCAGUAACUUCUUUUUUUUUUGUUUACAGCGCCAUGGUGAAUUAUUGAGUGUGAUUUGUUUAAAUUCAGUCUAGCCUUGGAUCAGGCUACAUCCUGGUGUUACAUGUUUUGAAAUGGGGAGACUUGUGAUUUACAUAUAAAGGGUUUUUCAAAGAUGUGACAUGGGGUAAGUUAAGUUGAACACAUACUAACACCAGACAGUUGCGAUGCUAAUGCUGUCUUCUCUCUUUGACUUUGACUCACUCACUUAAAAACGCUGUGCACAAGAAUAAAACUCCUAAAUGAAGAACAUGUCCUGUGAU